rnacentral:tRNA from 1 species
GGUGAGGUGGCCGAGUUGGUCUAAGGCGUGAGAUUAAGGAGUUUACUUCAUCUUCUCAUCUAUUCGUAGGCGCGAGUUCGAAUCUCGUCCUCAUCA